UACUGAACCAGCAUGGCUACCACAGCCUCCUGCAGCAACAUGCAACAUCCCAUCUAGUUUGCUCCAGGCUGUUUAAGGG